rnacentral:rRNA from 1 species
UAAUACAUGCAAGUCGAGCGAACUGAUUAGAAGCUUGCUUCUAUGACGUUAGCGGCGGACGGGUGAGUAACACGUGGGCAACCUGCCUGUAAGACUGGGAUAACUUCGGGAAACCGAAGCUAAUACCGGAUAAGAUCUUCUCCUUCAUGGGAGAUGAUUGAAAGAUGGUUUCGGCUAUCACUUACAGAUGGGCCCGCGGAGCAUUAGCUAGUUGGUGAGGUAACGGCUCACCAAGGCAACGAUGCAUAGCCGACCUGAGAGGGUGAUCGGCCACACUGGGACUGAGACACGGCCCAGACUCCUACGGGAGGCAGCAGUAGGGAAUCUUCCGCAAUGGACGAAAGUCUGACGGAGCAACGCCGCGUGAGUGAUGAAGGCUUUCGGGUCGUAAAACUCUGUUGUUAGGGAAGAACAAGUACGAGAGUAACUGCUCGUACCUUGACGGUACCUGACCAGAAAGCCACGGCUAACUACGUGCCAGCAGCCGCGGUAAUACGUAGGUGGCAAGCG